rnacentral:misc_RNA from 1 species
UGCCCACUCUGGACCAAAUUCUUCUGCAAGACGCUUCAAGUUAUUAGCAGCAGCAUCUCUAAUUGAAUAAACCUUGUCCUGUAACCAUUGCAUGCAAAGAGCACCCAGCUUAUCAUCAAAAAAUCCUAUGCCCAAUUGACUUGCCAAUAGAGGUAUGUAUUCUAUUAUUGCAAGACGGACUCGCCAAUGCCUGUCCUCUGCCAGCUCAACAAUAGCUGGCAACAGAGAUUGGGACAAUAAAUCAAUUCCAAUCACCUGAUUGACUUGAUCAAGCUUG